GUGUAUGAUUAAAGGAAAAUUUAUGAAUGUCAAGCACUUGAUGUUAACCCCUUUCCAUAAAAAAUAUGCAUAUAAGUGAAAAGAAAACAAAGAUCAAAAGUUUAAGAAGGUAACUCUUCAAUUUGAAACUUUCUUUUCUCAAUGAAACGAAUUUGAAAACAUCUAGACUGUGAAUUCAAACUACAAAAGGAAAACAGCAUCAACAUCAGAUGAAGUGAUGAAAACAGAAAGCCAGAGGUUACAGGACUUAUGCUGUGACAUGCGAUAUAGAACUAUAGAAAAGAAAUAAAACUGAAAAACAAAGAUGGGACUAAUGCCACCAGAGUCAUGAGGGAAAAGUAGUUAUACUUUGAUCUAUUAGCAAACAUAAAAGCAU
rnacentral:misc_RNA from 1 species